rnacentral:rRNA from 1 species
UACGUAGGGUGCGAGCGUUAAUCGGAAUUACUGGGCGUAAAGCGUGCGCAGGCGGUUCUCCAAGUCCGUUGUGAAAGCCCCGGGCUCAACCUGGGAAUUGCGAUGGAGACUGCAAGGCUAGAAUCUGGCAGAGGGGGGUAGAAUUCCACGUGUAGCAGUGAAAUGCGUAGAGAUGUGGAGGAACACCGAUGGCGAAGGCAGCCCCCUGGGUCAAGAUUGACGCUCAUGCACGAAAGCGUGGGGAGCAAACAGG